rnacentral:rRNA from 1 species
UACAGAGGGUGCAAGCGUUGUUCGGAAUUACUGGGCGUAAAGCGCGCGUAGGCGGACCUGCAAGUCGGGGGUGAAAGCCCGAGGCUCAACCUCGGAACUGCCUUCGAUACUGCGGGUCUCGAGUCCGGGAGAGGUGAGUGGAAUUCCUAGUGUAGAGGUGAAAUUCGUAGAUAUUAGGAAGAACACCAGUGGCGAAGGCGGCUCACUGGCCCGGUACUGACGCUGAGGCGCGAAAGCGUGGGGAGCAAACAGGG